rnacentral:lncRNA from 1 species
AUUAACGGAGUCAAGUGCACAUUUUGAUAUUUUGUAAUAACGAUUGCCGCAUGGAUAAGCGUUUAAUUAUUCCCGCCAUAUGUCACUAUUUGUUUUCCGAAGGUGCUGGGCCAUUCGGAACGUAACAAAUGUAAACAUUAGUAGGAGUAACAACGUGUGAAGUCACCGAGUGGACAAUCAACGUAAUAUGAAAUGUCACACUUUACAAACAUAAGAUGUCACUUUAUAUCUACUAUCUUAUUGUUAUCUGGAUAACAUGUGAAGCUGAGUUUAAGAAUAAACCUUGUUAUUCCGAGGUAAGUUGUUAGUAAAUGUAAACAUGCAAAUUAUGGGAAAAGGGAAGGUCACGCUCAACUGAUCGAUAACGAAAACUUUAUAAACUUUUUUGCACACAAGCUCUUAAAAAUCCUUUAUAUCAGUACAAAUGUUUAAAUUAUUAUUUUUUAAAAGCAGUUCAAUUUUAAGUAUUAAUGUUAUCAUUAAAAACGAUCCAUGUUUUAUUGUACAUGUACAUGGAACUUCGUGGAAAAACCAAAAUCGUAAAGUUUUCAAAUUGAUUAACCACUAUAAUCAUAAUCUAUAAAUAGGAAAAGCUUUAUCUAACGUUUUAUAUUUGACUUUAAUACUGACACAACUAAUGACCUGAAACAAAAAACAUUACAAACACAAUUUAACUCCCCCCCCACCCAAACCCCAACCCCAAAAACAAACCAACGAAAACAUUACAAUCCCCCCCCAAAAAAACAAACAAACCAAACAAACAAAAAAAAAAAAAAAAAAAAACCAACAACAAAAAAAAAAAAAAAAAAACCCAACAAAAACAAAAUGAUUAUAAAAAAAACAAAAUCAAAGAUGUUAAGUAUUCAUAUUUUCCUAUUAUAAGUUUGGAUUUUUAUCCAGCAGUUUUCUAAUUGUGGCUGCCAGAUAAGAAAGAAAAGAGAUAAACUGGCCAGUGUAUCUAUUCAAAGAAUAUUUGGAUUGACUCAUUCUCAGUGAUGUGUUCUCUUGAUUUCUUAUUUGGUUCCUGUUAAGAUCCAGACAUAUUAUACAUGUCUUAGUUUCUGAAUCCAUUUUUAGCUCACCUGGCCCGAAGGGCCAAGUGAGCUUUUCCCAUCACUUG